UACAGGGGGGGCAAGCGUUGUUCGGAAUUACUGGGCGUAAAGGGCUCGUAGGUGGCCAACUAAGUCAGACGUGAAAUCCCUCAGCUUAACUGGGGAACUGCGUCUGAUACUGGAUGGCUUGAGUUUGGGAGAGGGAUGCGGAAUUCCAGGUGUAGCGGUGAAAUGCGUAGAUAUCUGGAGGAACACCCGUAGCGAAGGCGGCACUCUGGGCCGAUACUGACACUGAGGAGCGAAAGCGUGGGGAGCGAACAGG
rnacentral:rRNA from 1 species